UUUAGAGUUCCAUCUACCUCUCUUUAUCUCUUUUUAGAAAGGGGAAUUUUUUUUUUUUUUUGUUUUUUUGUCAACAAUUCUGUUUGGAGUGGAAGAAAAUCCAGGGAAAAGUAACUUAAAUCUCAUGACUUGACAACGCCAUUUUUGCUAACAAUAUUAAUGGAUACUGUCUUCCAACUGUACUAUCCCCUUCACUUCUUUACUGAUCUCCCGAAGCAGAAAAGAAACAAACGAAAUUGAGACCAAACCAGUGCAGAAAAUGAGAGUGCUGGGAUAAGGGUAUUUGCCUUUUCUACAAUUGUCCGGCCUUGCUGUUCAAGGUUUUUGUGCAAAUUCAAAGCUCCUACAUUCUAAUAACAAUUCUGUUUCGAUUUUCUUCUUAAUCCUAUCUUGAUCACAAAUAAUUGUUGCGAUCUAUUUCUUUUCUGCAACUUGAAUUGACUAAACAAACAUAUGCAGUUUUCUUUACCACGUCUGAGUUUCUUGUUCCUCAUGUGAUCAAGAUCUCAGGUAAUGCUAAAAUGCAAGUUUGCUGCCGAUUGUAUUGCUUUUAUCAGGUUAAUGUAGAUUUCUAGAUUUUUACUGUAUUAAGCUAAAUGAUUUAAUGAUUGGGCUAGGAUUGAUAAUUCAGAUUUUGUGUUCCAGUUUUAUUCUUGAAUAGAUUUGCAGAAAGUUUGUGUGCUUGUGGAUGCACAGGAUCUCUGAAGUGUCAGAAUGUACAUCUUCUUUCUAGCAUUGAUUUACUCCUCCCUUACCCAAUAACGAUGGGCUAAGUGGAUCCCUCAACAAUGCUUACAUCAUUUGGAGUUUGUUACUCUCUUUGAACUCUUAUGAAGUUCCUGGAGUUCGGAAACUCCUACACUCACUUAAUCCCAGCAUAUUAGAGUAGGGUGCUCUCUUCCUGGUGUUUGCUACCUGGUUCUUAAACAACCCUUAUUAUCUGAUCAUGAAAAUCUAUUUAGGUAGAGCCACGCACUCCCAACAAUUGUCUGGCCUCGCUUUUUAAGGUUGCUAAGAGCAAAUUCAAAGCUCCUACAUUCUAGUAACAAUUCUGUUUUGAUUUUCCUUUUGAUCCUAACUUGGUCAGAAAUAAUAGUUGCAAUCUAUUUCUUUCUGCAACUUAAAUUGACCAAACAAACAUAUAGCAACUUUCUUUUCCAUAUCCAGAUUUCUCGAUCCUAAUGUGAUCAAGAUCGCAAUAUGCUAUAUGAGGUUGAUAUAGAUUUCUAGAGUUUUGCUCCUUUUUUUUUUCAAUCCAAAAUCGACUGUAUUAAGGUAAUUGAGCUAGAAUCGAUAGUUCAGAUUAUGUGUUUCAGUUUUAUUCUUGAAUAGAUUUUUUAAAAAAGGUUUUUGUGCUUGUGGAUGCUCAGGAAUCUGAAGUGACAGAAUUUAUUUCUUUUUUCUAGCAUUGAUGGUACUGCUCCCUUUCCCAAUAAUGAUGGGUUAAGAGGAUCCCUCAGCAAUGCUUACAUCAUUUGGAGUUUGUUAGUCUCUUUGAACCCUUAUGACGUUCCUGGAGUUCGGAAGCUCCUACACUCAAUCCAAGCAACGAUGUUUCUAACCUAGAGCAGUAAUUGCUUGAUGGUCCUGACUCUCUCUCUCUCUCUCUCUCACACACACACACACACAGACACGCACACACACUCACACACGCGCGCAGACUAUCUUAUGUUGAUCUCCAAUUAAGUGAUAUAUUUGUUGUUUUCUAUGAUUAUGAAUAAUUUAGUUCUCAUGGGAUUUUCAUUACCUUGAUUUGUGACUUAAAAGAUGGAACCAAUUUCCACGCCAGUCCCUAUGCAAUAAUAAUUAUCCUGUGUUGAUUGCCUUUAACGUGUAAUUCUGAGCCACCUGUUGUUUUUUCUUCUUUUCAUGACUUUCUAGUUGCUACAGCGUCCAUAGAAUUGUGCACAGCGUGUUGUUUUAGGGGUGGGGCCGCCUUGCCUUAGCUAAGCCUUUGGCAUAAUCAUUCUUGUAGUUUUUUCCUGUUUAAGGACUUGCUGGGUGCUGCAGUGGACUUGGUUUUGUAGACAUGAGCCAAAGUAUGUGAAUAACUGCAGCUGCUACUACUUUUAUUCAUUUACAUUAUAAUGUAUUUUGUCAGUAAGUGCAGGCUACUGUAGUUGAAAGCUAGGGGCUUAUCUUGCCAACCUAUUCUAUGAAGUUCAUAUAAACCAAGUCAUCUAGGCCUAAGUGAUAAGGGAGUGCGACGUUGGUAGAGAUCCUGGUUUCUAGACUAGGAUUGCAUAAUACUAUAUGAACUUGUUUACAUAUUAAACCAUUUCAUGACCAUUCACAUGUCAUUUUUUAACUGAAGGUAAGAGCUUUCGAUGCUGCCUUGGCCUAUGAAGUCAGAGAUGUAAGGUUGUAUGUUCUCAAGUAAGUCUAUUAAUGAAUGUUGUCACUUUGCUAUAUGCCACUUGCUUCUUUGGAAGGCAGGCAACUGGACUAGCUAUAGUUUAGUUAAAUAUUGAUUCUUUUUAUUUAAAAAUAUAUAUUUUUUAAUAUUUCACCAUCAGUUUCUUGUACUCUGCUUUUUUAGAGAGUAUAAGCAAUUUUUUCCUCAAAGAAUUGUAGCAUCUGGGUUUGUGAAUUAAUCAUCAUAUAUGUGGUAUUGGUAAUAUGUGCAACGAACUCUAUGUUGGAGCUAUAGUUUGAAAUGAGAACAUUCUUUAAUGUUUUAAGGGCUUUCUAUGUUGUCCUUUGAUUUAUGGAGAGCAGGUUCGAGGUACGUGAGAUAAGUGCUAUUUUUUAUUUACUGAUCACAUUGUUGUUCUUUAAUCCAUUUUGUCACCGUCGGCAGGGUGUUAUAGUUGAAAGCUAACAACAGCAAUGGCUAAUUACCCUAUGGAGUCCGAGGAUGGAGACUCGAUAUCGUCGUAGUAAUAUAACUCUUCUGCUAGCCAUUGACUGCUUAGGCAGGUGUCCUUGCUUUGGUAGUACUGGUUCUGAAGUAUUGGGAGGAUGCUUUCAGUAAUAUCCCUUGCUUCGGCAUUUGAAUGUGUUGGCGAAAGUUAAACCUUCUGCUGAUUGAGAAUUUGUUUUCUUUGAUCUGUAAUUUUUGUUGGGUGUUAUUGUAAUUCAGGUUGAGAAUAUGUUUGCCAUUCCAAGGGCAGACUAAACCCCAUGAAACCCCCUGUUUACUGUUAAAGUGCCACCAGAAAGUUCAAUCUUGAAAUUCUGGUGUUUUCUGUUUUGUACUAGUAUUCUGAAAUUAUAUUUUAUUGUUGUUAAUUGGUUUUUGAAUUA